GACGAACGCUGGCGGCGUGCUUAACACAUGCAAGUCGAACGGAAAGGCCCUGCUUUUGUGGGGUGCUCGAGUGGCGAACGGGUGAGUAACACGUGAGUCACCUGCCCUUGACUUUGGGAUAACUUCAGGAAACUGGGGCUAAUACCGGCUAGGAGCUCCUGCUGCAUGGUGGGGGUUGGAAAGUUUCGGCGGUUGGGGAUGGACUCGCGGCUUACCAGCUUGUUGGUGGGGUAGUGGCUUACCAAGGCUUUGACGGGUAGCCGGCCUGAGAGGGUGACCGGCCUCAUUGGGACUGAGAUACGGCGCAGAGUGCUACGGGAGGCAGCAGUGGGGAAUAUUGCACAAUGGGCGGAAGCCUGAUGCAGCAACGCCGCGUGCGGGAUGACGGCCUUCGGGUUGUAAACCGCUUUCGCCUGUGACGAAGCGUGAGUGACGGUAAUGGGUAAAGAAGCACCGGCUAACUACGUG
rnacentral:rRNA from 1 species